rnacentral:lncRNA from 1 species
CGCCUUGUUGAUCUCCGCCAAUGGCACUGAGUGCGUCACAAACUUGUCCAGCUCAAUUUCCUGCACAACCAAAAGCUUUCUCGUUACAUGCUUCACUCUGCAUAUGCGUGUAUACAUAGUGAUUCCAUACCUUGUUCAUGUACUUCUCGACGACGGGAGGAAUGUCUGUCCGGGGUUUGAAGUUGCCAUAGAAUGUCCCUUUCAGGGUUCUCUCGGAAAGGAAGUUCAUCGGAUGUGUCUUGAACUCAUCAUCCUUGCUUGGAACACCAACAAGUACU